AUGUUCCUUGUGUCUAUUGUUAUCUUUCAAACAGGGGUGAAAGGAGGAAACCAGGUGGAGCAGAGUCCUCCUUCCUUGAGACUCUGGGAGGGAGAUGGCACCUCCAUGAGCUGCACUUAUUCAGUCAGUGGUUUUACUGGUCUGCAUUGGUACAGACAGGACUCAGGGACAGGUCUCAGACGCCUCUUCUCCAUGUAUUCAGCUGGGGAUGUGCAGCAGAAGGGAAGACUCCGAGCCACGUUGCUGAAGGGUGGAAGCAGCUUGAACAUCACAGCUGUGCAGCAUGGAGACUCAGCCACCUACCUCUGUGCUGUAGUCACACAGUGCAACCCAGGCACCUGUGACCUGCACCCAAAUCUACAGCUGAGCAGGCACAGUUUGAAAGAACCCUCUGCAGCAGGGCUCGGAGCCUGGGUCCUUGUGUGGAGUUAA